UCACUAUUAAUAAGGUGUCACGUUCGAUACCUGGGCCAGGAGUCUCCUCGGUUUUGUUCAGUCUCCGUGUCUCGUCCGACGAUCCUCGCAAACCUUCGAACAGCGCGAUCCGUUCCGCUAAAGGGGGUCUUUUAUUUGCUUUGCGACCUAUAAAUCUACCUCGGUGAGACCGCUGUCAUAUGGACCUCAGUACCCUUCGCCCUUCGCGUUUCUCGUACCAGCUGGUGAGGCAAAAGCCUUUGCCAGUGGAAUUUGCCCGUAGUCUUCUGCUUUUGUUUCGUGGAGUGCAAUAGAUCUAUAGAUAAUUCUUCUACCUGGACUCGCUGUUUACCGGUCUCUUGAGGAACACUUUUUUCUCCUUUCUGGCUUAUUCUACUCGUUGACUUCUGGCGCUACGAUCGGGAUUCGACUUACUAGAAUUCUGUUCCCCGCCACCGGUCACUACUAAUUGUCAGACCUCCCUACCUAAUCACCCGCUUCCACGGAAGUGUGUCAGCUGAUUAAGGAGAUUAAUAAAGUCUACCAUACCAGAGAUCGCUGGCCUAUUUGUAUCUUCUGUGUGUUUGUGUGCGUAAGGAAAGUGCUUUUUCGUCGUGUGGUGUGCUGUUCUAUUCAGCUGUGCCAGGACGGAUUAUCAUUGGAAAGAUGGUAUGGGAAAUCUUCUGACAGAAACCCGUAGCCUUACGUCAACGAUUGUUUGUGCAGUCUUGAGAUGCUGAGAAGAGAUUACUUCGACUUAACUGCGACGAACGACGUAUGGUUAAGAUAGUGAUUUGCGUGCGACUCGCAAGAUAAGAGAGGCUUCUUACUGUAGAACACUCAAGACAUCACACGUAAAGACAGCAAUCUGACGUCUUUGAGAUAAACCAAAUAGAAAAGAACAACAAAAA